UACAGAGGUCCCAAGCGUUGUUCGGAUUCACUGGGCGUAAAGGGUGUGUAGGUGGCGGGGUAAGUCGGAUGUGAAAGCUCGGAGCUCAACUCCGAAAUGGCAUUGGAAACUACCUUGCUCGAGGGUUGGAGGGGGGACUGGAAUUCUCGGUGUAGCAGUGAAAUGCGUAGAUAUCGAGAGGAACACCAGUGGCGAAGGCGAGUCCCUGGACAACUCCUGACACUGAGGCACGAAAGCUAGGGGAGCAAACAGG
rnacentral:rRNA from 1 species